CUGACCUCCAGGACACCUACACCACCAGGUGUCGCAGGAAGGCAAAUAGGAUGAUCAGGGACCUCAGCCACCUGAGCCAUGCCCUGUUCUCCCCUCUUCCUUCACUCAGACGCAGGCAGUACAGCAGCAUCAUGGCAACAACUGGAAGACUGGCCAAGAGCUUCUACUCCCCAGACCAUCAGGCUGCUCAAUAGGAGCCACUCUAUUCUUCAUCCCUCUGUUCCAUGCCUCUGCCAGCAACGUAGAAAAAGGUUGAUAUUAGGUUGACUCCAACAUAAUUUCUGAUGUUCGCCGAUAGCCUGAUGCUCUAAAGCAGAGUGGCUGAUAUUCCAAACCUGGAGAGAUACUUGGAAUAUUUCGUGGCAGUGAACACCGCAAUACGGGUUCCAGACCAAUGCCUGUCCGACUACGAGGAGGUCCUGUUGAUCCAGCGAGGGAUGGGGAAAAUUUUAGAAUCAUCAAUCACCAUCCUCAUUGAGGUCCAGACCUCAGACCCAGGUACCAACAUGGAGGAACUUGUGGAGGUUGAGGAGCAUCAGCCCUCGAAGAUGGAGGAGCAGCCCUUGGAGUUUAUGGGUGUUGGAAAGCCAGAGGUAGAUUUCCUCAGCCUUCACAAGCAUCUUCUGGUGAUACCAUAGGUUGCCAACGAGGAGGUGAACACUGAGGUAAGAAAUAAGAGCCAUCUGAAAAGGCCUAUUAUUAUGAUAGUCUUUGAAUGAAAUAGGUUAUGUGUAUCAUUUUGGACAUUGUCAAGUUGUCUAUGUAUAAAUGACUUCGAUAUGUUUUGUAAAAUUGCUACUAGGUUCCAAUAGUUAUAUGCGGUAUGUCUGUCUGUUUGCAGAAGGAUUCCACAGAGAAUGCAGACCUCAACCAGCUAGGCACCAUUCACCAAGGAGUAAUGUGCCUGGAGAUUAAAUCUGAGCAACUCGCUCUGAGCAACACCAACAGCGAAGACAACUGUAACAAAGAUGUCCUCCUCCUGCAAGAGAACACUGAGUGCCUGCUGAAGGCCGUAACUCAGGAAUGUAUGUUAGCGGUGGUCUCAGAGGACGGAGCUGGAGGCAAAUAGCCGAAGAAGAAAAAGAACGUCAUUAGGAAGAUCUUCAGCCGCAUCUGGAGGAGCAUAACGUGUUCCUCUGUGAUCUCCAGAGAGGACGACAACAGAGCUGCCUCUAUUGAAAAUAACUGUUUUACCAGUUGCUACCACCAACUGUAACAUCACCAUGGCCAAUUAUAGCAUUUUAUUUAAAUAACCCAAAAAUAAAAACUCAAU